rnacentral:tRNA from 1 species
GGCGCCGUGGCGGAGUGGUUACGCAGCGGACUGCAAAUCCGUAUACCCCGGUUCGAUUCCGGGCGGCGCCUCCA